rnacentral:rRNA from 1 species
UACGGGGGGGGGCAAGCGUUGUUCGGAAUUACUGGGCGUAAAGGGCUCGUAGGCGGCCAACUAAGUCAGACGUGAAAUCCCUCGGCUUAACCGGGGAACUGCAUCUAAUACUGGAUGGCUUGAGAUUGGGAGAGGGAUGCGGAAUUCCAGGUGUAGCGGUGAAAUGCGUAGAUAUCUGGAGGAACACCGGUGGCGAAGGCGGCAUCCCUGGACCAAUUCUGACGCUGAGACGCGAAAAGCGUGGGGGAGCAAAACAGG